rnacentral:rRNA from 1 species
UACGGCCUACGGGACGCAGUAGGGAAUCUUCCACAAUGGGCGAAAGCCUGAUGGAGCAACGCCGCGUGGGUGAAGAAGGUCUUCGGAUCGUAAGACCCUGUUGUUAGAGAAGAAAGUGCGUGAGAGUAACUGUUCACGUUUCGACGGUAUCUAACCAGAAAGCCACGGCUAACUACGUGCCAGCAGCCGCGGUAAUACGUAGGUGGCAAGCGUUAUCCGGAUUUAUUGGGCGUAAAGGGAACGCAGGCGGUCUUUUAAGUCUGAUGUGAAAGCCUUCGGCUUAACCGGAGUAGUGCAUUGGAAAC